CAUUUCCUUUUGAUUUUAUUUAAGGUCUGGCCUGCUCGAUGAUGUUUAAAUUGCCGCAGUAUAUUAACUGUGCAAAGGUAGCGUAAUAAUUAGUCUCUUAAUUAGGGGCUUGUAUGAAAGGUUGAACAAGAAAGUUUCUGUCUCUUUCUAAUUUUUGAUGAAUUUUAUUUUUAAGUUAAAAAGCUUAAAUUAUUUUAAAAGACGAGAAGACCCUAUAGAGUUUUAUAAUUUUUUUUCUAUCUUUUGUUAGUAAGUGGUAUAGGUAAAAUUUAUUUAGUUGGGGUGACUUGGAAAUUAAAUCAAUUUUCUAAAUUAUUAAUUAAUGAUUUUUAAUUGUUUUAUCUGGAAGUUUCAAAUUUAAAUUAAAUUACCUUAGGGAUAACAGCGUAAUUUUUUUUGAAAGUUCAUAUUUAAAAAAAAGUUUGCGACCUCGAUGUUGGAUUAAAAUUAAUUUUUGGCGCAGUAGCUUUAUGAUUUGGUCUGUUCGACCUUUAAUGUUUUACAUGAUCUGAGUUUAGACCGGCGUGAGCCAGGUUAGAUUCUAUCUUUAAUUUUAUUUUUUAUUUUAGUACGAAAGGACCAAUUAGGAGUUAAAUUAAUUG
rnacentral:rRNA from 1 species